AACGAACGCUGGCGGCAGGCCUAACACAUGCAAGUCGAGCGCCCCGCCCGGGGGGCGGCGGACGGGUGAGUACCGCGUGGGAAUAUGCCCUUUGCUACGGAAUAGCCUCGGGAAACUGGGGGUAAUACCGUAUACGCCCUUUGGGGGAAAGAUUUAUCGGCGAAGGAUUAGCCCGCGUUGGAUUAGGUAGUUGGUGGGGUAAUGGCCUACCAAGCCGACGAUCCAUAGCUGGUUUGAGAGGAUGAUCAGCCACACUGGGACUGAGACACGGCCCAGACUCCUACGGGAGGCAGCAGUGGGGAAUCUUAGACAAUGGGGGCAACCCUGAUCAAGCCAUGCCGCGUGAGUGAUGAAGGCCUUAGGGUUGUAAAGCUCUUUCAGCUGGGAAGAUAAUGACGGUACCAGCAGAAGAAGCCCCGGCUAACUCCGUG
rnacentral:rRNA from 1 species